rnacentral:lncRNA from 1 species
CUUUGGUGAGUUUCCUGCAGAACAAAUCUCUCCAUGCAGGCAUUUAACCUCCCCGCACCAUCUGUCCUCACGCUAUCUCAGCCUUUCUCAGCCCAUAAGCACAUGCUGGGGAGCCAUCACCAUCCCAAACAGCAAUAAUUGCCAUUCAUCCGAGGGUUUCCUUGAGUAUUUCCUAAUAGAGCUCCUGUUCCCAGCAGGUCUCCUCGUCUUUGCCGUGAUGGUGGUCUGACAUGAACAGCUGUGCUCCCAAAUCCCUUGGCAGCUGUGGGAUACAGCAGCAGCCCGGGCUGCACCAUCCAGACCGAGGGAAGACACCACCACCAGGGCUCACCCAGGUGGCUGAAACAUCAUUCUGGGAACACAAGAGCAUAAGUAUUCCGACCGAUCCCGCCGUGCUGUUCAAUUGAAUGGCUCAAAACUAAACAAAAGGCAAAAUCCAGAAUGAAAAUCAUAACCAUGUACUUUAAAAGUUGGGGGGGGAAAAUUACUCAGGGCAAUGUAUCAAAAAUACAUGCUGAUACGUAACUGUAUUUAACAUCCUAUUUGAGAAGCUGAGGAGACAAGACUUACAUUUCUCUGGGAGCUCCAUCCCUCUGAGCAUUUCCCCUUCCUCUGCCCACUCCUCACCUCACGCCUUUUCUGCCUUUCCCCCUCUUAGAAACCCGGUUAAUAAACGAAAUCUCACAUGCCCCCUCA